rnacentral:rRNA from 1 species
AUGGCUCAUUAAAUCAGUUAUCGUUUAUUUGAUAGUACCUUACUACUUGGAUAACCGUGGUAAUUCUAGAGCUAAUACAUGCUGAAAACCCCAACUUCGGGAGGGGUGUAUUUAUUAGAUAAAAAACCAACGCCCUUCGGGGCUUCUUGGUGAUUCAUGAUAACUUAACGGAUCGCAUGGCCUUGCGCCGGCGACGGUUCAUUCAAAUUUCUGCCCUAUCAACUUUCGAUGGUAAGGUAUUGGCUUACCAUGGUUUCAACGGGUAACGGGGAAUUAGGGUUCGAUUCCGGAGAGGGAGCCUGAGAAACGGCUACCACAUCCAAGGAAGGCAGCAGGCGCGCAAAUUACCCAAUCCCGACACGGGGAGGUAGUGACAAUAAAUACUGAUACAGGGCUCUUUUGGGUCUUGUAAUUGGAAUGAGUACAAUUUAAACCUCUUAACGAGGAACAAUUGGAGGGCAAGUCUGGUGCCAGCAGCCGCGGUAAUUCCAGCUCCAAUAGCGUAUAUUAAAGUUGUUGCAGUUAAAAAGCUCGUAGUUGAACCUUGGGUCUGGCUGGCAGGUCCGCCUCACCGCGUGUACUUGUCCGGCCGGGCCUUCCUUCUGGAGAACCUCAUGCCCUUCACUGGGCGUGUUGGGGACCAGGACUUUUACUUUGAAAAAAUUAGAGUGUUCAAAGCAGGCCUUUGCUCGAAUACGUUAGCAUGGAAUAAUAAAAUAGGACGUGCGGUCCUAUUUUGUUGGUUUCUAGGACCGCCGUAAUGAUUAAUAGGGACAGUCGGGGGCAUCAGUAUUCAAUUGUCAGAGGUGAAAUUCUUGGAUUUAUUGAAGACUAACUACUGCGAAAGCAUUUGCCAAGGAUGUUUUCAUUAAUCAGUGAACGAAAGUUAGGGGAUCGAAGACGAUCAGAUACCGUCGUAGUCUUAACCGUAAACUAUGCCGACUAGGGAUCGGGCGAUGUUCUUUUUCUGACUCGCUCGGCACCUUACGAGAAAUCAAAGUUUUUGGGU